rnacentral:rRNA from 1 species
UACGUAGGGUGCAAGCGUUGUCCGGAAUUAUUGGGCGUAAAGAGCUCGUAGGCGGUGUGUCACGUCGGCCGUGAAAACCUGCAGCUUAACUGUGGGCGUGCGGUCGAUACGGGCAUCACUGGAGUUCGGCAGGGGAGACUGAAAUUCCUGGUGUAGCGGUGAAAUGCGCAGAUAUCAGGAGGAACACCGGUGGCGAAGGCGGGUCUCUGGGCCGAUACUGACGCUGGAGGAAGCGGAAAGCGUGGGGAGCAAACAGG